rnacentral:tRNA from 8 species
GGGGGAUUAGCUCAGUUGGCUAGAGCACCUGCCUUGCACGCAGGGGGUCAUCGGUUCGAAUCCGAUAUCCUCCA